GAUGAACGCUGGCGGCGUGCCUAAUACAUGCAAGUCGAGCGAACGGACGAGAAGCUUGCUUCUCUGAUGUUAGCGGCGGACGGGCGAGUAACACGUGGAUAACCUACCUAUAAGACUGGGAUAACUUCGGGAAACCGGAGCUAAUACCGGAUGAUAUUUUGAACCGCAUGGUUCAAAAGUGAAAGACGGUCUUGCUGUCACUUAUAGAUGGAUCCGCGCUGCAUUAGCUAGUUGGUAAGGUAACGGCUUACCAAGGCAACGAUGCAUAGCCGACCUGAGAGGGUGAUCGGCCACACUGGAACUGAGACACGGUCCAGACUCCUACGGGAGGCAGCAGUAGGGAAUCUUCCGCAAUGGGCGAAAGCCUGACGGAGCAACGCCGCGUGAGUGAUGAAGGUCUUCGGAUCGUAAAACUCUGUUAUUAGGGAAGAACAUAUGUGUAAGUAACUGUGCACAUCUUGACGGUACCUAAUCAGAAAGCCACGGCUAACUACGU
rnacentral:rRNA from 1 species